rnacentral:rRNA from 1 species
AUUGAACGCUGGCGGAAUGCUUUACACAUGCAAGUCGAACGGCAGCACGGGGCAACCUGGUGGCGAGUGGCGAACGGGUGAGUAAUACAUCGGAACGUGCCCAAUCGUGGGGGGUAACGUAGCGAAAGUUACGCUAAUACCGCAUACGAUCUACGGAUGAAAGCGGGGGAUCGCAAGACCUCGCGCGAAUGGAGCGGCCGAUGUCAGAGUAGGUAGUUGGUGGGGUAAAGGCUCACCAAGCCGACGAUCUGUAGCUGGUCUGAGAGGACGACCAGCCGCACUGGGACUGAGACACGGCCCAGACUCCUACGGGAGGCAGCAGUGGGGAAUUUUGGACAAUGGGCGCAAGCCUGAUCCAGCCAUUCCGCGUGCAGGAUGAAGGCCUUCGGGUUGUAAACUGCUUUUGUACGGAACGAAACGGCUCUCUCUAAUACAGGGGGCUAAUGACGGUACCGUAAGAAUAUGCACCGGCUAACUACGUGCCAGCAGCCGCAGUAAUAC